rnacentral:rRNA from 1 species
CACACCCGUUCCCAUGCCGAACACGGUCGUUAAGCUCUUUUGCGCCGAUGGUAGUUGGGGGCUUCCCCCUGUGAGAGUAGGACGUUGCCAGGC